AGCACGCCCGGGAGCGCGCAUGCGCAGCGCUGCUGGCCCGCUCUCUGAGGAGCUUUCAAUACUUUGGGGUCAAGUUUGAGGUAGUUGUAACUGUACUGAGUUUAGUUUUGCUAAUAAUGGUAUUCUACGUGUGUCAGCCUCGUGUGGACUUCUGUAAUGACUAAUGGAUAUGUUUAUAUCCUGAGCAUUUGCUGUAGGAAUUUUAAAUGCAAUCCCAAAACUCAAGAUUACUUUAUUUGGAGAAAUAUUAGUGUUACUAUGUUUAAAAUUUAAUAGAUAGAACCGUAUUUUACCUUUCACUUUGGGACUCGCACAGGAUGUUUGCAGCUCUUGAUAUACAGGAGUGUUAAGGGUCUUUAUAAACAGAAACCGCAAGGAACCUGGGAUCUGACAGCUGUUGGAGGAAUGCCUGUGAGGAAGGAGGAGGAACAGAAGAAUACUUCGAUGUCUUAAAUGGUACAUACAAACUUAAGUGAAAUAGAGUUGUGAGGACAUUUUGGGGAGAAGUGACCUAGAUAAGCACUGACUGUUGCAUUCAUCUCUCUUCUUGCUGAUUGUGAUGAUUUCCUGUGCCAUAGCCAUUCAAAGUCUGCCAAAAAAGCUAGCAUGUAAUUUUCCUUCUCUACUUCUCUACAUUUGGAGGAUGGAAAUGUAGAUGCUCUUCCAUUGUGCCAGCCUCCUCAUUCUUCUUUCUCCAAUGCCACAUCUUCCUGCAAACUUCCUGCCACAACUCAAACAACAGGAAAAUAAAUGAUCUGAAAUCCUCCUGAACUGCAGCCUACCUAUCGUGGUCUCUAUGGGUGCAAACUUCCUUCCAGAAGCUUGUUCAGCUGGCUAAAACAGGACAUUUGCCAAUGCAGCCAAAAGUUGGGUCUUAUACUGGCUACCUCCUUUGCAGAGUGAAAAACUUUUCUUUCUCCCACAGCCACAGACAUCGCUCCUCUUCCAGCUCAACAUCUUUCAAAGGGAUGGCUCUCAGUCCCGAAAUGAAAAGAAAAGGUGGCUUGGUGCAAAUCAUUCUCUGUAUCAGCAAAAGAAAUACCAAAGUCUGUGUCCUUCUGACAUAGUGAGCUGUCGAGGUAGUCCAGGGAAAAGAUGAAAGUGAAUUGAAUUAUGGGAUGGCAAUGGAGACUGAAAAGAAUCUGUAUUUAAUAUAUGUAUAUAUAUCAUUAAGGUAGAACUAGUGGAUUUUCUCUGGCACUGCACAUGGGAAGCAAGGGAAGGAGAGUGAUCUAGAAUGAUGCCACCAUUUUUGCCUGAGAAAUUCAGUACUCAGAGGUGUCAUUCAGAGAGAUGGAGGAAACAAGAAGAGGAGCAAGUUGGGGGAAAGGGUAAGCAGAAUCAAAAACUGUGUUGAUACCUUAACUUUAGGAUGCAUAGUAGACAUCGGAGUACAGAUGGAGUUUAGGAGCAAAGUUAUGUAGAGAGAUAAAUUUGAGAAUCUGUAAUUCUUUUAUUUGUGGCAGAUAAUUAGACAAAUGAUUUCUAAAUAUUCCCAUGACUACUACAGAACAUCGGUAAAUUCCUUAAUAAUACUAGAAGGAGAAAUGUGGUUUAAAUUUUCCCAGGGGUUUUCUAACCUUUCAGCAAUUCUCUUUCUUUUCAGCAAAUGUUUGGUAAUUUUGCUGGAAUAUUGGGGUGGGGCUGCUUUCUUUUUAAGGCUGCUAUUUCUUUAUGUAUUUCGCUGGUCUUUAAGCUCUCAAGUAGAAUCAUCUGAUGUGAUUUCUCAGCUAAUAUAGGCAUUUUAUAACUUGCCCAGAGCCUCAUUGUUUUCAAUUCUGUUUUUUUUCCCCCUAUUAGUUCUAUAACCAUAUUUGUGACUUUGUAUUUUGAGACAUUCUGGAACAUUCUCCGGUAGAAUAAAACUAUAAUACUAUGGGAAUAACAAAUACAAUACUAUACUUAGAAAACAACCAUAGGGCUGGGCGCAGUGGCUUACACCUGUAAUCCCAACACUUUGGAGGCCGAGGCAGGCGGAUCACAAGAUCAAGAGAUUGAGACCAUCCUGAGUACAGAGUGAAACCCCAUCUGUACUAAAAAUACAAAAAUUAGCUGGGCAUGAUGGCACGCACCUGUAGUCCCAGCUACUCGGGAGGCUGAGGCAGGAGAAUUGCUUGAACCCGCUCUUUUUUUGACAUGACCACACCCUGCAGCAGCUCGCCCACUUACUCCACUAUGUGACACUGGACAAGUCAUUUAGCAUCUCCUGGCACAAUUUCCCCACCUGUACGGUAGAGGUAAUAAUCCUAAUGCCUACCAGAAGGUAAUAAAUAAGGAUUAAAUGAGAUAACACAGGUAAAGUGCUUAGAAUGGUGUUUAGAAUUUAGUAAGUCAUGGCUAUUGUUAUGAUUAUCUUCUGCCCAUAUAAGUGGUUGGAGAACACACGUGAGUAAAUAAAGUUUGGUUGAAUCUGCUUCACA